CUUGGAUUCGGAUUUAGCGGGUCAAAAUACAUAAGUGUUGACUAGUCUAGUCCGCCGGACCAACCACUUUUUUGUGUGCCUGUGAUAUCAAGGUAAACCUUUACAAAAGAGGACCCAGCUCCGAUGACCUUGACCUUGACAUAUGUUAUCAAGGUCAUCCUUCUGAAUUUUGUUCAAGAGAUUUUAGCCGCCGCUCGUAAUUCGUUAAAAAGUUAUUACCAAAAAAAGUUUCAUAAAUACGAUACAUGAUAUCUCUGCUUUACUUAAAGCCUGCGUUCAAAAAUAGCUUUCACUGGUGCUGGGAGAAAAAGUUAAGUUGGUAGUAUUGACAAUUUCCAACGCUGCGUUCGUUUUAUCCCAGGUGGGAGCUGGGAGUAAUUAGAGACCGACCGAAUGAGUGCAUUUAGUGCAAAUAGCAACGAAAUAUCUUGACAGGCAAUAAGAGAGAGAGAAAACGCACGUGUUUUAUAUAACCUCUCUACUAUUAUUGAAAUUCAUCAGUAAAUUGAAGGCUCUUUCCUUUCGUAUUGUUGAACAAGAAACAAAAGUCAAUAAAAGGAAUAUACAAAUUUAAUCAACAUCAUUAUGAUUAUUAUGGAAAAGUUAUUAUUGAAGAAUAUUUUACUCGAAAACAUGUUUGAUUCUUCUAGUAGUUUAUCGUCUAGUAACAGUGAUGACGAUGAUGAAGAAUUACAAAAUAUCUUGUUCAAUAAUAACACAAACGAAAGGAGAAAUAUACCAAAAAUAAAAAA